rnacentral:rRNA from 1 species
GAGGGAAAGGUGAAAAGUACCCCUGUGAGGGGAGUGAAAUAGAACCUGAAACCAUGUGCCUACAAGGUGUAAGAGCUGGGAUUUAUCCUGGUGAUUGCGUGCCUUUUGCUUAAUGAGUCUACGAGUUAGUGUCUGUGGCAAGCUUAAGUCCUUCUGGGACGCAGGCGUAGCGAAAGCAAGUCCGAAUAGGGCGAUUUAGUUGCAGGCGCUAGACCCGAAGCGGAGGCGACCUACCCAUGGCCAGGUUGAAGCGACAGUAAAAUGUCGUGGAGGACCGAACCGAUGUGUGUUGAAAAACGCUCGGAUGAGCUGUGGGUCGGAGUGAAAGGCUAUUCAAGCCCCGUGAUAGCUGGUUCUCCUCGAAAUGCAUUUAGGUGCAGCGUUGCGUGUUGAUGAGUGGGGGUAGAGCACUGAAAGGGCUAGGGGGCAUACCCGCCUACCAACCCCUAUCAAACUCCGAAUACCAUUCAAUAGAGCGCAGCAGUGAGACAGUGGGGGAUAAGCUUCAUUGUCGAAAGGGAAACAGCCCAGAUCAGCAGCUAAGGUGCCAAAAUCAUGCUAAGUGGAAAGGAGGUGGGGUUUCUUAGACAGUGAGGAUGUUGGCUUAGAAGCAGCCACCAUUUAAAAAAUGCGUAAUAGCUUACUCAUCGAGAGACCCUGCGCCGAAAAUGAUUGGCGAUAAGCAUGAUACCGAAGCUCUGGAUGUCAGAAUCCUGCGGGAAUCUGGCGUGGUAGAGGAGCAUUGUCAUCUGCAUUGAAGCGCGAAGGCGACUGAGCGUGGAGUGAUGACAAGAGAGUAUGUAGACAUGAGUAACGAUAAGCCGGGUGAAAUCCCCGGCCGCCGUAAACCCAAGGUUUCCCGGGCAACGUUUUUCGUCCCGGGGUUAGUCGGGACCUAACCCGAGGCCGAUAGGCGUAGGGGAUGGUAAGCUGAUUAAUAUUUCAGCACCUGCAAAGUGAAGGGGACGCUUUCCGAAUUGCAACCAAGUUAUUGAAUUCUGAGGGGAGGCCUUGUGCCGAACCGUAUUGCAUGAAAGAGAGCCAAGAAAAGCCGACACGAUUAAAAGCAGCCCGUACCGUAAACCGACACAGGUGGGUGGGUAGAGUAUACCAAGGCGCAAGAGUGAAACCUGGUCAAGGAACUCGGCAAAAUAGCUCCGUAACUUCGGGAUAAGGAGUGCCCCUCUUCGGAGGGGCCGCAGUGAAAUGGGUCAACCGACUGUUUAGCAAAAACACAGCAUUGUGCAAAGACGCAAGUCGAAGUAUACGAUGUGACACGUGACCAAUGCCAAAAGAUUACGGUGAGGUGUUAGCACUUUAGUGCGAAGCUCUGAGCCCAAGUCCUGGUGAAUGUCGGCCGUAACUAUAACGGUCCUAAGGUAGCGAAAUUCCUUGUCGGG